ensembl:lncRNA
CCAACGCGGCUGUGUUUUUGUUUACCGUGACAAAUACGAUGUGUGGCGUGAGUGCGUAUGAAAACAUGCAAAAGCGUGUGUCACACGGCGAAACCGUGAGAGUUGGCAGCUCUGAAAUGAUGUGCAGAUGCAAAGAAGCGGUCCACACCAAAGAGUAGCAAUUCAAAUCUUGUUGAAACGACACGUUUCGAGAAAGCUGACUGCGAAAGACCGCAGCGCCGCUCCGUGCAAACAACCACGGCUCCAGCCGAUGAGCCAGGCAGACCUGAAUAAAUUGAUGGCUCGUUAAGUUGAAGAUGAAAUGCAUCCUGUCUGACUGAGACAGUUAUUCUGUAUUAAGUCAAGUAUUAAAAGGAUUUUUGUACCACUGCUUGACUUGAAGGCCCGUUGCCUUGUUGAUUACAAUAAGUCUAGAAAGGUUUAUUGUGUUUGACUGUUCAGUACUGUUCAUAUUCAGUACAUUAAAAGAGCAGACAUCGAAGUAACUUAAAAGUUACUUUAAUUUCUUUUGAUACACAGUAACUUGUAAGUAAGUCAAUUACCUGUAAAAGAAGUAACUAGUAACUGUAUCUAAUUACUAAUAUUCAGUAACUUGCCUAACACUGGUAAUGACGCAAAAAUGUGCAUUAUUGGCACUGUUAUUGCACAUGUUCGGAUCCAUCCCAAGUGGCACGCAGCCACAAGUCAAAAGACGCUUCAGGUGUGAGUAAGUGGUUCUGUGCACUGGAAAGUCUGUCUGGCCUCCAUCUUCUUUGCAAACAAGUUUCAUUUUAAGACAAGAGCUCCAGGUCUUCUCAUCCUCCACUUUGCCUGCUACUCUUCAUUCUAGGCCAGCUUCUUCUUCCCGUCCAGAUCUUUGUGGUUUGAUUGGCAAGCUUCAAUCUGAACUCCGUGCUCUGUUUCUUUCAGCCUGACACCCAGGGGUUUAUAUUUGGCCUGCCAGGCUUUCUCCCUUUGGAGAAGUUCAUCUUGUCUGUGAGCCUCUAUGAGGCUGUGCAUCGUCCUCCUGAGAUCCAAGGUCUCAGGUUUCCCUCUGGUUCCCCUUCAUCUGGUGCUCAAUACGCAGCUCAGGUUGUUUCGGUCUGAGACUUGUUGGUCUUCCGUUUUUGGUGCUUUGUUGUUGAAGCUGAGUUGCUUUUACAUCAGCUGUCUUCACCGAGGCCUUUAUGACAGUAAACUAUGCAAAUAAAAGGGCUGUUAAAAAGACAUAUGCAAAAGAUCCCCACCCGCUUAACAAUGACUUCUUUCAUUAUAUAUUUGUACAACUGUACAGAAAAACCAAGUCUAGAAUAAAAACACAACAUGAUGUUUGUUUAAUUUCACAUUUUUAUCUGAACCAUAACAUGAAUAAUUAUAAAUAUGAACCAUUGUGAGAAAAUGACUCCAUUACAUGUUGAUCAUGAGGAUUAGUGACGCAGCAAAACGCAAGACUUUGCACUCCUUUAGAUUUUAUACAUAUUGCCAAAUUGAUCUUUCUGCAUAAAUAUUCUUUCAUCCAAGACAAAAUAAGGCUCGACUUUCUAAAGCGCUGGAUCAAGAGGAAAUCAGGCGUUCAUUUGGCAAACUGACAAUAAAAGUAUUUGUUGGAGAAUAAACUAAAAACAAACUAAAUUUUAAGCAAAAGGACAAUAUUUACAAGGGGAGGGCACAUAAUUGGUCAAACCUUUUUGUUUGGUUGUUUAUGUGUAGAAUAAAGAAUCCUGUUGUCAUUUGAAAACAUCUGACUUCAAUUUUGGUGAUAUUCAUGUUUUCAAAUCUCAACAAUCAAGUUAUGAAUGUCAAGCUUUUCAAAUCGGUUUUGGGUUCUUGUUUUGAAUGAAUCCAUUUUUUAUAUAUAUCCAACACUUCACUGCCUCAGUACAUUACAUGUCAUUUAGCUGACGCUUUUAUCCAAAGCGACUUACAAUAAGUGCAUUCAACCUUUGGGUACAAACUCAGGAGAACAAAAAACUGCAAUUUCCUCAAAUAAUACAAUUUACAAUUUGCUAUUGAUAAGAGCCGUUAUAAGUAAAAUUUAAGUGCUACAAUUUGGAGCGUAGAGUCUGAAGAGGUGUGUCUUUAGUUUGCGGUGGAAGAUGUGAAGGCUCUCUGCGGUCCUGGUAUGAAGGUAUGAAUGUCAAGCUUUUCAAAUCGGUUUUGGGUUCUUGUUCUUGUUAUAUAUAUCCAACACAAAAAAAGACUUCCAAUUCUGUCAGUCCAGCAGCUCCCCCUGUGCUUGUUUGCUUUGCCUGUGUUUUCCUGUCUCUGCAGGGAGGUGUGGUCUCCCCCUGUUCAUCCCCCGAAGGGUGUGGCUGGAACAGCUGACGGCAAGCAGCCAUCAGGGGACUCUCCUACAUCAACCCGGGUCUUCCUGCCAUUGAGCGCCAGAUCGUUCCGUCGUCAGAGUGUGCUCCAGGAUCCCUACCUGCCUGCUGGCGGCCUCUCCGAGGCCAGUCCCCCCUCCAGUCUCGACCCUGCCCUGUGCACCUUUUUAUGUGUAUAUGUCUGAAUAAACACAUUAUUUUCCAGUCGGAAGAACCUCGCCUGUGACUCCUGUGUGCUGCGCUUGGGUCCACGCCCAUCUACCUCACCACAA